rnacentral:sRNA from 1 species
UCACCGAAACCGGAGGACACCAUGAAGUUCAAGCACAUCCUGAUGCUCACCCUCGGUGCCGCCGCAGUGGCCGCGCUUCCUGCGUUGGCCCAGGCCGCUCCUCAGCAGGCCGGGCAGGGCGCCACCGCCCAGAAAAGCGACGACGCCAAGGCCAAGACCGACGCCGAGCGCAAGGCCGAGCGCCGCGCUACCGCUGCCGCGCAAAAGCCCAAGGCCGACAGCGCGCCGCGCGAGGAAGAGGAAGAAGAGAAACCCGCACGCUAAGGCAUCUGCGCAGCGUUACGUGGUCCACGGACGCCCCGGCCUCGGCCGGGGCGUCUGUAUUUACGCGUUGUUGCGCGCAU